GUGUGCAUUGGCCUCGGAUCAGACACACACAGACACCCGGACUGAAGAGGAAGAAAAGAGCAGCUUCGUCUCUACCAGUGUUUACUCGACAUACAAAGGUUUAAAGACUGUAAAUCGACCUGAAGAGUUCAGCAGCAAGUUUGUGCCGUGGAUGUGGUCCACAAUGGGGGUGCCCGGGGUUUUGUUGUUGCUCCUAAUGUUGCAGAGUUUUACAGAAGGCAUUUCAGUUCAACCAGGACUCAACAGCACAGUUUUACCAACCACACCUCAUCCACCACCUCAGAACUUCACCACCAAUCAGGGGAAAACUGCCACAACAACAGCAGGCCCCUCUGUCUAUUUCAACUGUGGAAACA